UUCCGUUUCACUUGAGAGAUUCGGCGUUGCCUUUUCUCAUUUUCUCCAUCCAGUCUUAAAAUCUCACAAACUUCGAUUCGGCGUGCCUCUUCAGCGUCGUCGAUUCGGAUUCGGUAGCUCCAGCGAUGUCGAUUCGGCGUGCCUCUUUAAAUCUCACAAACUUCGAUCUACACUCUGUAACGGCUUCGGUUUUUGUCUAUCUAAUACAAUAAUCCUAGCAUUUACUUGUACCACUUCUUCCACUCUCUCCGAUAAAUCCAAGGUCACCGCUUCAACUCCGCCUAUAAAUGUGUUUGUUGCCUGCGAUGCACAGACUCACCGCUCCGAAAUCAGAAAUGAAAAUAUCUUUGAAGCAUCAACACCCACCAUGGCGAUUUUGUUACUGCUUUUCUCCUUUUUAGUUGUGAGUAAUCUUCUACGUGCAAAUUGCAAUUGAUUUCUACUCCCUUCUUAUGUAGUUUAAGCGUUUAUUUGGAUGUGCUAAUACAAGAUCAAAUCUUUAUGUCUGGAUAGCGAUCAUUCCAAUAGUUGUAAGAACUAUUUUUCCGUUUUAUGUUUCUCUUUUUUUUUGAAUAUUGAGUCUCAUAUCAAUUGUCUAUUGAGCUUUUGGUUUGCAUCUUUUUUUCUUUCAACAUCUUUUAUUUUUCUUUGGUGGCAAAGUUGCAACAUGUAAUCGCAACUUUAUUAUCAGAGAACACUGGGAUAACAUAAUAUGCUUCUGGUGUUACCGGAAUCACUUUUAUCCCUUAUCCACUUCAUUCAGUUUCAAGUGUGCAAAAUCUUAUGUACCUCUAUUAGUAACUAAUGAUUUUUGGUUUAGUAGAUAUCCAAGACACUUGGUCGGCAUGCUCGCCGAGUCUAUGUUGGUGGGUUUUCACCUGCGGCAAAUGAAUAGUAUCCACUUUCUUUUUCCCAGUGUUUGAUACUAACAUUGAUUUACUUUCCUAUGUUUACUAUUACUGUGAGCCGUGCGAAUCAAGGAAUAACGCAACAUCAACCUGAACAAGAGAGUAUAUUGUUGCAUGCACAACAGCAGAUUGCUUUUCAGGUGCGUGGACAAAUGUUGUGAUUACGCGUCCUAUCCCCAGCGGUGAGCCAGUUGCAGGCCUUGGCAAGAUAAAUGAGCGACAUAAAGAAGCUCUCAAGUAUCUUAAAGAUUUCAAGUGGAUUAGGGUUGAAGAACCAAUAGAGUUCACACUUGAGCUAUUCUUUGUGGCUUAUUGCACUGAAGAACAACGAGAUUGUCGGCUUCGAGAUAAUAAGCAAGAAAAACGAGCUUGCAAAUAUCUCAAAGAUAUCAAAUGGAAUAAGGUUAAAGAACCAAAAGAUUCACGGUUGAUCUUUUCUUUGAUCAGAACUCUUACUACCAGAACACUGUCUUCACCAAGACAUAUCACAUGAUUGAUAAAUAUAAGCUUAUCUCGAGAAGGUCAUUGGGUCCAAUGUGAGAAAAAAAGAAGCUAGAGUAUGGCAGAUGAAAGGAAGCCAAAAGUGAAGAAAAAGAGACAAGAGAUUCAUCACAAAUGUGUUGUAUUUAUACCCUAUAUGUUUUCAGUUAUCGUCUAAUUUUUCACAUUUGUAAUAGGUUCUCAUAAAUUCUUUUGGAGGACAACAGCAUUCUGUUGUUUUGGCCAUUUUGGCUAAACUUAUUCUCUAAGAUAAAAUGAUUCGGUUUGGAAUGAAAAUGAAUUUUAAAUUA